ACUCCUACGGGAGGCAGCAGUGGGAAUAUUGCACAAUGGGCGCAAGCCUGAUGCAGCCAUGCCGCGUGUGUGAAGAAGGCCUUCGGGUUGUAAAGCACUUUCAGUAAGGAGGAAAGGUUAGUAGUUAAUACCUGCUAGCUGUGAUGUUACUUACAGAAGAAGCACCGGCUAACUCCGUGCCAGCAGCCGCGGUAAUACGGAGGGUGCGAGCGUUAAUCGGAAUUACUGGGCGUAAAGCGUACGCAGGCGGUUUGUUAAGCGAGAUGUGAAAGCCCCGGCUCAAGCCUGGG
rnacentral:rRNA from 1 species